rnacentral:lncRNA from 7 species
UUAACAUCUCAAGUUCUACAAUCAUAUUCUAGGGUUUACAGGUAUGGUGCCAUGUGAGCCGUCCAAUUAGAUUUUCACGGCCGAAAUUACAUGAACCAUAUGACGAACCGGUACAUAUUGCUAGACGUCGAUCCAGUGAUCGAUGGAUUGAAUUUAAUGGUCGACGCCGUCCGCGUAUUCUUAUCCUAGCCCUUCAUCAAUUAACCGAUGAACCCGAUUCACCCAACCGAAGCAGUAUCCGUACUAUAAUCUGAGCCGCCUAGAGGGAGCUCGACGGUUGAAAUCAACACCCCAAACCAGUAUGACCCCGAUCUAGUCUAAGUCGUCCAUCCCCAAAUCAAUGGCAGACACCACAUCUCCUACCUCUGAUUGCUAGGGCACGACGGCGACCCCGCCAGUCGCGGCGGCGCCAUGGGCGAGCACACAACCAAGGGAUUCCUUGCUAGCUUCACCCUACCAGGUAGAAACGAGUGCAGCGAUUACGAUGAGUACUUUUAGGUGAUCAUGUACCGAGAUUGUGCAACCGCACGUCUUAUUAAGGUGUUCGACCGACAAGCACACUUCGGUCCGCGACCACGUUCGUCCUGGUGUCCAUGGAUUCCCAGGUUGGCGUGACCAAGGGGGCGCGGCGGCCACAAGUCUUAUAGUGCCAGGGCAACAGCGGGUCCGGAAAGAUCACAACUGAAUCCCCCCCAGUUGGUCGAACACAUCGGGGAGGUUGUUGUAACAACCCCACGCCGAGAGCUCCACGGUGGGGAAGAAGAACAGGAGAUGCGGAGG